CUGUGCCUGCUUCUUGUUUGCACUAAGAGCCCCUAUGGUGACAUGACGGAAGUUUAAAGCUACAUGCCGUGGUGGCUCAAAUUACCCUCUCUGCAAUCUACAUUUGAGGAGUUCAUUAAUGCUUGGUAUUGCUCUGUUAAGAGAAGGUGUAGUGACCCAACUAGAAGUACUGAGAGGGACCCUGACCAAUUCAAUCUUCACAUAUGGGAAAGAAUAGAUGUUUCUAAAUAGCAAAAUUAUGAAAAUCACAGAGGGAAAGGCCAUCUAAUACUGCACUCUUUUUGGCUCCUCCAUUGAAGAUGUAACAGUAAAUGCAUUUUCCAGCAAACUGAGUCAAGACUAAGACUGAUUUCUCAAUGUGCUCGAAUUUUGCAUUUCUUCUUUUUUUUUUUUUGUUCCCUUGUAGUUCACAAAUCAAGCAAAUAAACUAGAUUUAACAG
ensembl:lncRNA